UGAGGAAUAUUGCGCAAUGGGGGCAACCCUGACGCAGCGACGCCGCGUGAGUGAGGAAGGCCUUCGGGUCGUAAAGCUCUGUCAAAGGGAAAGAAGUGUGCAAUGGCUAAUACCUGUUGCAUUUGACGGUACCCUUAAAGGAAGCACCGGCUAACUCCGUGCCAGCAGCCGCGGUAAUACGGAGGGUGCAAGCGUUGUUCGGAAUCACUGGGCGUAAAGGGCGCGCAGGCGGUUUGAUAAGUCAGAUGUGAAAGCCCAUGGCUUAACUGUGGAAGUGCAUUUGAAACUGUCAGACUUGAGUAUCAGAGGGGAAAGUGGAAUUCCCGGUGUAGAGGUGAAAUUCGUAGAUAUCGGGAGGAAUACCGGUGGCGAAGGCGACUUUCUGGCUGAAUACUGACGCUGAGGCGCGAAAGCGUGGGGAGCAAACA
rnacentral:rRNA from 1 species